rnacentral:lncRNA from 1 species
CCACCGUCUUACUCGCAGUAUGAAGGGUUUCAUUUUUUUUUACUGACAGGCUGUUGAAUAAUAGAUUUCGAAUCGAACGAAUGCUCGCCCAUUGUCGAUUGAGUAUGGUCAGCUCGUCCUGCGUGGCUCAUUUUUCGGCUAGGGAUCAUGUUAUUCACAUCCAUUUCUCAGGUCAAAUUCUGAAUCACCAUCAGUGUUGGUAUCCAGAACCGGACAAUUUUCUUAUUUUCUGUCGGCGGCUGAGGAUUAUAUUUGAAGCCUACCUGAACUAUGGUGCCGGACAGAUCUCGGUCGGUUUUUGGACCCAACUCCUUUUUCCCGCAAUUGAGGUUUUGUUGCUGCGGUUGCUCUCUGAGAACGGGAGUACUGAUCAUUGGCUGGUUCACUGUGAUUGUAGGUGCACUCAUGAUUCUUGGAUUUUGGCCUGUCGCUAAUCGUUUGAGGGGGAUGGACAUUUCAAAUAGCCCAGAGAAAAGGGUGGCCGUUUACUUAUGGGUGAUCGACUACUUUAUUGACGGCAUUCUUCUCAGAAUUGCCGGUAUCAUUCUGCUCAUUGGCGUCUAUGCGGAAAAACCGAAAUGUGUGCUUCUGUUCCUGAUAGCGAGCGCCGUCGAUGCUGUCAAGUUACUGAUUGAAAUUCCACUUUUCAUCUUCACCAACAUUGGUAGAAGCGUAUCAGUUGAAGUUUCAUCCGAUAAUGAGUUGUAUCCUUUAUUUGAGCAUCCGUUGGGGCUCUUCAUUACGCUCGUGCUGACUUUGUAUUUUCUGGCGGUGACUAACAGUUAUUACAGCGAAAUGGAAAAUUCUCCUCCGAAAAGAUGUGGAACAGGGUCGCUCCGGACAAUGUACGCAAUGCCUGAAAAAAAUGAUGAUGCAAACGUACUCAAAAGUCAAAAUGACACAUCUCGACAACUCAUUUGA